GAUGAACGCUGGCGGCGUGCCUAAUACAUGCAAGUCGAGCGAACGGACGAGAAGCUUGCUUCUCUGAUGUUAGCGGCGGACGGGUGAGUAACACGUGGAUAACCUACCUAUAAGACUGGGAUAACUUCGGGAAACCGGAGCUAAUACCGGAUAAUAUUUUGAACCGCAUGGUUCAAAAGUGAAAGACGGUCUUGCUGUCACUUAUAGAUGGAUCCGCGCUGCAUUAGCUAGUUGGUAAGGUAACGGCUUACCAAGGCAACGAUGCAUAGCCGACCUGAGAGGGUGAUCGGCCACACUGGAACUGAGACACGGUCCAGACUCCUACGGGAGGCAGCAGUAGGGAAUCUUCCGCAAUGGGCGAAAGCCUGACGGAGCAACGCCGCGUGAGUGAUGAAGGUCUUCGGAUCGUAAAACUCUGUUAUUAGGGAAGAACAUAUGUGUAAGUAACUGUGCACAUCUUGACGGUACCUAAUCAGAAAGCCACGGCUAACUACGUGCCAGCAGCCGCGGUAAUACGUAGGUGGCAAGCGUUAUCCGGAAUUAUUGGGCGUAAAGCGCGCGUAGGCGGUUUUUUAAGUCUGAUGUGAAAGCCCACGGCUCAACCGUGGAGGGUCAUUGGAAACUGGAAAACUUGAGUGCAGAAGAGGAAAGUGGAAUUCCAUGUGUAGCGGUGAAAUGCGCAGAGAUAUGGAGGAACACCAGUGGCGAAGGCGACCUCCUGGUCUGUAACUGACGCUGAUGUGCGAAAGCGUGGGGAUCAAACAGGAUUAGAUACCCUGGUAGUCCACGCCGUAAACGAUGAGUGCUAAGUGUUAGGGGGUUUCCGCCCCUUAGUGCUGCAGCUAACGCAUUAAGCACUCCGCCUGGGGAGUACGACCGCAAGGUUGAAACUCAAAGGAAUUGACGGGGACCCGCACAAGCGGUGGAGCAUGUGGUUUAAUUCGAAGCAACGCGAAGAACCUUACCAAAUCUUGACAUCCUUUGACAACUCUAGAGAUAGAGCCUUCCCCUUCGGGGGACAAAGUGACAGGUGGUGCAUGGUUGUCGUCAGCUCGUGUCGUGAGAUGUUGGGUUAAGUCCCGCAACGAGCGCAACCCUUAAGCUUAGUUGCCAUCAUUAAGUUGGGCACUCUAAGUUGACUGCCGGUGACAAACCGGAGGAAGGUGGGGACGACGUCAAAUCAUCAUGCCCCUUAUGAUUUGGGCUACACACGUGCUACAAUGGACAAUACAAAGGGCAGCGAAACCGCGAGGUCAAGCAAAUCCCAUAAAGUUGUUCUCAGUUCGGAUUGUAGUCUGCAACUCGACUACAUGAAGCUGGAAUCGCUAGUAAUCGUAGAUCAGCAUGCUACGGUGAAUACGUUCCCGGGUCU
rnacentral:rRNA from 1 species